GCGUGAACUCGUGUUCACUCUCAGUCGGUUGUGGGUAGUCAUUGGCGGACAAAGGAGGACAAAGAAGGACAAAGAACGAACACAGGAAGGAAGCUUGCGAGCCAGAGACUCUUAUAUUCCCAUGGAAAAAUGUGAAAUGGUGCCAGUCAUUUAGUAGGGACAGUGUGGGAGUCAAACACAGUGCAAGUCCUGUAUGUUCCCUGCCUUCAAUCUUCUAGACCUCUACUGCUGGUGUCUUCUGUUUGUAAGUAUAUUCUCUUUAAGUUUUGGCGCAGACAGUGUUCGGAGAGACUGGCAAAAAAUGACUGAUAAUGAUGAAUAAAACUACAACAACAACAAUUAGCAAAACAGACCAGAUAACUCAGAUGCUGAACUGCCAGUAGCUGCUGGAAAUGUGGGACAGAGUUAGCAUUGAAUAACUUCCAGCUGGAUCUUGUCUGGAGCUUUCUGGAGUUCAUUUGAACUACAUCUGUACAGUCAACACUAUAAUUCAGGCUGGUGAGUCUGUGAUUGGUCAUCAACACCAAGAAAUGAGGAGACUUCUUUGUUCUGAUGUCUGCCAUCACUCUACUGUCCUGAGAAUCACCAUAGCGAUGACCUAGGUGUCAGAACAGGAACCAGAACAUACCUUAUUGAAAACCUAGACAUUCUCAUUCUUCCAAUCUGUCAUAGGAUUCAUGGAGGUCAUAGCCAACAUAAUACAGAUGCCCCUGUUCUAAUUUUCAUUCCUGCAAACCAAGACCAAGCUGAUGGAUAAAGUAUCGGCUGAUUCAUUUGUGUCCCUUGCUUGAAGCUGCUUCCCAUGGAAUUUUUUCACGAAGUCAUUGACUGUCGACGUGGCAUGAAGACGGAAUGUACUGAUCAGACCAAGUUUCUCGCUGUUUCCUGGCAGCCAAUGGAAGAGCCGAGAAUACCAGUGCGAGUCAAGUGUUGAAUAGCACAGAUUCCAAGCAUUGUUUCUCUCUGGUCAGAAAAAAAAUCAGAGAAAUAACUUAUCAAUGAUAUAUUCCUGUCUGUUAGUAAUGAUUGAUCGCAGACUGAAUGCUACCAUGGGUCUACUGGCAAGCUGGAAAGAUACAAAGAUAAAGAUAAUUUAUUAAACUUACUGAACAGGACAUUGGAGAAUUUUCAGUUGUGAAAGUGAAAUAGACGUUAAAAAUAUUAAGAUCAAGUGCAAAUUUGAUGGUUCAUGAUUGACAUUAACACUUACUGAAUGUAACAUUAAAGGAUGUUCAAGUGUGACAGUGAAAUAGACAUUAAACAUUAAAGAUCAAGUUGUGGUUUAAGAUAAAAUACUGAAAAGAUCAACACCAGCAUGUUAACAGUAAUGUUACAAUUUAUUUUAUGGCAUUUAGAACCCUAGCAUUGAUAUUGUACUGUAACCAACGUUCUCUAUCUUUGCUCCAUCGUGCACACAUGAGACAUUGUAAUUGACAAGAUCCUUGUUAGUUAGCUUUCAGUGUCUUCUAAUAAUUUUGGCAUAAACACUGCUGUAACAUCAGUUAGUUGAUCAAUGGUCAAUGGCAAAAUAACACCAGUUGGCUCAGUUUCGACUCUGUGUGUACACUCACAACCAAGGCUGUCUUGGUAUUAAAAUUUGAAGUAUUA